rnacentral:rRNA from 1 species
UGGGGAAUAUUGCACAAUGGGCGCAAGCCUGAUGCAGCCAUGCCGCGUGUGUGAAGAAGGCCUUCGGGUUGUAAAGCACUUUCAGCGGGGAGGAAGGCGAUAAGGUUAAUAACCUUGUCGAUUUACGUUACCCGCAGAAGAAGCACCGGCUAACUCCGUGCCAGCAGCCGCGGUAAUACGGAGGGUGCAAGCGUUAUUCGGAAUUACUGGGCGUAAAGCGCACGCAGGCGGUCUGUCAAGUCGGAUGUGAAAUCCCCGGGCUGAACCUGGGAACUGCAUUCGAAACUGGCAGGAUAGAGGCUUGUAGAGGGGGGUAGAAUUCCAGGUGUAGCGGUGAAAUGCGUAGAGAUCUGGAGGAAUACCGGUGGCGAAGGCGGCCCCCUGGACAAAGACUGACGCUCAGGUGCGAAAGCGUGGGGAGCAAACAGG